UACGUAGGGUGCGAGCGUUGUCCGGAAUUAUUGGGCGUAAAGAGCUCGUAGGCGGUGUGUCACGUCGAUCGUGAAAACUUGGGGCUUAACUCUGAGCUUGCGGUCGAUACGGGCAUCACUGGAGUUCGGCAGGGGAGACUGGAAUUCCUGGUGUAGCGGUGAAAUGCGCAGAUAUCAGGAGGAACACCGGUGGCGAAGGCGGGUCUCUGGGCCGAUAUUGACGCUGAGGAGCGAAAGCGUGGGGAGCAAACAGG
rnacentral:rRNA from 1 species